GAUGAACGCUGGCGGCGUGCUUAACACAUGCAAGUCGAACGAAGCAUUUAAGACAGAUUACUUCGGUUUGAAGUCUUUUAUGACUGAGUGGCGGACGGGUGAGUAACGCGUGGGUAACCUGCCUCAUACAGGGGGUAGCAACUGGAAAACGGCGGUUAAUACGCAAUAGCCCACAAUAACACCUGGUACCGUGUGAAAAACUCCGGUGGGAUGAGAUGGACCCGCGUCUGAUUAGCUUGUUGGCGGGGUAACGGCCCACCAAGGCGACGAUCAGUAGCCGACCUGAGAGGGUGACCGGCCACAUUGGGACUGAGACACGGCCCAGACUCCUACGGGAGGCAGCAGUGGGGAAUAUUGCACAAUGGAGGAAACUCUGAUGCAGCGACGCCGCGUGAGUGAAGAAGUAGUUCGCUAUGUAAAGCUCUAUCAGCAGGGAAGAUAGUGACGGUACCUGACUAAGAAGCUCCGGCUAAAUACGUG
rnacentral:rRNA from 1 species